rnacentral:rRNA from 1 species
AAUCAACGCUGGCGGCGUGCCUCAGACAUGCAAGUCGAACGAUUAAGACUUCCUUCGGGAAGUGCAUAAAGUGGCGCACGGGUGAGUAACACGUAAGUAAUCUACCCUCGAGUGGGGAAUAACGUUCGGAAACGAACGCUAAUACCGCAUAAUGCAGCGGCAUCGCAAGAUGACAGUUGUUAAAGGAGUAAUUCGCUUGAGGAGGAGCUUGCGGCAGAUUAGCUAGUUGGUAAGGUAACGGCUUACCAAGGCUACGAUCUGUAUCCGGUCUAAGAGGACGGUCGGACACACUGACACUGAAUAACGGGUCAGACUCCUACGGGAGGCAGCAGUCGGGAAUUUUGGGCAAUGGGCGAAAGCCUGACCCAGCAACGCCGCGUGAAGGAUGAAGUAUUUCGGUAUGUAAACUUCGAAAGAAUGGGAAGAAUAAAUGACGGUACCAUUUAUAAGCUCCGGCUAACUACGUGCCAGCAGCCGCCGUAAUAC